GACGAACGCUGGCGGCGUGCUUAACACAUGCAAGUCGAACGAAGUGGCGAACGGGUGAGUAACGCGUAAUCAACCUGCCCUUCAGAGGGGGACACCAGUUGGAAACGACUGCUAAUACCGCAUAGUGAAGGAGGGGUAUGCGUCGGAUUGGCUAGUUGGAGGGGUAAGGGCCCACCCAGGCGAGGAUCAGUAGCCGGGCUGGGAGGAUGAACGGCCAAAUUGGGACUUGGACACGGCCCAGACUCCCACGGGAGGCAGCAGUGGGGAAACUUCCGAAAUGGACGAAAGUCUGACGGAGCAAAGCCGCGUGAGGGAUGACGGGCUUCGGGUUGGAAAGCUCUGUUAAGCGGGACGCGGUACCGGAAUAGAAAGCCACGGCUAACUACGUGCCAGCCGCCGCGGUAAUUC
rnacentral:rRNA from 1 species